AAAUUGAAGAGUUUGAUCAUGGCUCAGAUUGAACGCUGGCGGCAGGCCUAACACAUGCAAGUCGAACGGUAACAGAAAGCAGCUUGCUGCUUUGCUGACGAGUGGCGGACGGGUGAGUAAUGUCUGGGAAACUGCCCGAUGGAGGGGGAUAACUACUGGAAACGGUAGCUAAUACCGCAUAACGUCGCAAGACCAAAGAGGGGGACCUUAGGGCCUUUUGCCAUCGGAUGUGCCCAGAUGGGAUUAGCUAGUA
rnacentral:rRNA from 1 species